rnacentral:tRNA from 1 species
AUAAGAAGCAAAUAAAUUGCAUUUAGUUUCGACCUAAAAUUUAGGUAAAUUUACCCUUAU